AUUCUGCACAAAUUUCAUUUGUGAUUAGCUAUAAAAAUGAGAGUUGAAGUUAAUCGGAAUUCCAAUAAUGGAGCCAAACCAGAAAAUUCUAGAAGUAUUUAAAGAGACCAACAUACUUAUGAAAUGAAGACAGGCACAAAAUGCUGGAGUAAGUCAGCGAGUCAGGCAGCAUCUCUGGAGAAAAUUAAAGGGUGAUGUUUCAGGUCGGGAUCCUUCAGUCUGAGAGCCAGGGGAAAGGGAAACGAGAGAUAUAGACGGUGAUAUAGAGCGAUGUCGAACAAAUGAAUGAACUAUAUGCAAAAAGUAGCGAUGAUGAAGGAAACGGGCAUCGUUAAGGGAAGGUGAAAACGAGUUAUAGGCAAUGAGACUCAACAGGACAACUUUGAAAGGAAUGUUUUCACUAUAAACUCGUCUUUCCCCAUUCAAUGGAGGCCUGACCUAUGUGCUUGUUUGAUUUAAAAAAAAACAAUAUAUAAAAUCAUAGAGUCAUACAGCUGGGAAAAAGGCACUUCUGUCCAGCUCAUCCUUGCCGACCAAGAUGCCCCAUCCAAUCUAGGAUGAUUACAAUUAUUUUGAUUUCUUGACAGAGCGUUUGCUGACAAUAGAUACAUAGCGUGUCGCAUCAUAUUACGAUUUAUCACGUUUUUGGAUGGUUUGUGGUAGUAUCAUUGGCAGCAUGAAGUCUUAUGUCCUGGAGUUCCCCUAUCAUCAAUACAGGACCAUAUUCGUUCUUCAGGAUUGUCAAGGAUUACUUGCAGUUAUGGAGCGUCCACGUAAAACUGUACAGUAAGAACAUAUUAAUUCUAAAAAGUCUUACCACCAACAGACAGAUGUUCUAUCGGAAAUCUUUUAUCCAUAAAAAUGCAAAACCAAGGAUCAACAUUGAGUUAACUGCCCAAAUGCAGAAGAAAUCUAAAGCAUAAUCUUCUAGACCAAUCGUAUGAGAAAUCAAACUUGGGAGCUUCCAGUCUCCACGGAUCUGCCACCUCCUUUACCAAGGCCUGAUUUGCAUUCUGGAUAUUUUAUGGAUGUUAAACCUGAUAGUGAAUGCAAUAAACACCAUGCACAAUCAAAAUAAAAGCUGAAUGGCAGUGACAUGCUGCCUGUUAAUAUUAAUGACUGUCAUCCUUUCAUUGAUAAUCACAGGGCAAUAGUUCGCACCAGUUAGUUCUAGAUUUCUCUGCUGUACGUCCAUUGUAUGUGGCGCUCCUUCCCAGCAUGUAUCUUGCUUACCAGCACUUCAACAUUUCCUUCUCGGAGGAAACUUCUCAUGUCUGUAUCUCGAAAUGGGAAUGUUUAUUUGUCAAGAAUCGAAUUUCAACUUUCUUGUGUGAUUGUAUCUUAAUGAUUGGAAGGAUCAACGUCCAACGUGCAGCUUAAUUGCUGAAAAGGGUGAUUUUGACCCGUUCUGGUAGUGUGUAGUAAAGAAAAUUGUGUGGCUUUCCCAGUAAUCUGGUGCUCUGAAACUAAACAGCAAAACCGCCUGCAAGGAAGUGCACAAUAUCCGUUAAAAAUAUAAUGCGGAAGACUAAUUACUUCAUAUCAAAAAGAGUGCCUUGCAAUCCAGCUUCUAGAUGAUAGUGGUUGGAGCAGAUGCUGCCAAGGAAACAGUGAAAAGUGAUGAUAGACACAAUAGACCUGAAGAAGAGUCUCGACCCGAAACUUCUCUCCAGAGAUGCUGCCUGGCCCGCUGAGUUACUCCAGCUUUUUGUGUCUAUCUUAGUAAAAAGUGAUGCAGCAUGAGAGAGGGCUGGUUGGGAAGAUUUGUAUGCUGUAUUGCACGUGUUAGUGGAAGGAAUGUGGAGGAGACCUAUCCACUAUUUAUAUAGAACUACCUUGAUAAAAAACAGUGGAAACAGAGCUGCAUAUGAAUGUGCUAUUAAGGAACCGGAUGUAAUAAUGCAAGACAUUGAAUUAUUUUGCCUACAGUAUAUGGUGAAGGUCAAUGAAAGCACUUUCAAAUGCCACAUCCUACUAUUAACCACGGACAAUACACAUUGAUACUUACCAAUAUCAUCAAUCGGGAUUCUAUCCUAACAUGUGGUUUACCCCAAAUUGCAUGGCUACAAGUCCCAAACUCGCACGUCACAAUUUUCACUACACUCGCUGCACAAUCACGAUAGCCACAUCACCCAAACAUCUUACAAAAUAUUUAAAGACACAUUUCCCUCUCCGAAGGGCAGGAUGAAGACAACAAGAACCUACUUAAGCAAAGUAAGAGCAUCACCAUGUUUUAGUCCCUAAGGAGGGGUAGUUGCUGGAUAACAAAGAGAUGACCAAUGCUAGAUUUUAAUUACUGAUGUGCUUUAAAACAUGAAAAAUGAUGCAGAUCCCCUGCUCUUUUCAAUAUCUCCUCUUUAAUCUAUACUCUUCAGAUUUGCAAACUGCCAACAGUAGAAAUGGACACCUCAAAUUUUCUCUCUGUUCCCUGCGCUACAAUUUAAAUCUUUUGGCUUUCUUAAGGUAAUGUUCUUUAAUAUGCUACCUAAAUUAAUGUUGUAGAACCUCAUCCUCUUUACUCAUGUUAUUGGUAUUGACAUUUAUCGCACCACUGGUUGUUCAAUCACCCCCUUCAGAAAGUCCUAUAACUUCUCUGAGACACCUGUGGCCUGGCACUGGAGAGGCAAACUAUCUGAGAGUGUUGCUCGCCAUCCACAAAUAUAUCAGCUAUUCUUCUCUUUCAAUCAAGUCCUGUAUCACUGUAACUCUUAUAGUCUUUUUCCUCCGCUGCAGUGCAGCAGAGCCAACCAUGUACCGCAAACUUGCCAUUUGCUGUUUUUCCUUGUCAACAGUGCUCAACACCGUAUACGAGGAUUAUGGCCACAAUGACUCCUGCACUACCUGUCCGAGGCCUUCAGUAGAGUUUUAGUGCCAAAGUGCCAUACCCGAGCAAGUGUUGAAACACAUGUCAUAUGUAAUAUUGGUUGUGAACAAUCAGACAAUAGACAAUAGGUGCAGGAGUAGGCCAUUCGGCCCUUCGAGCCAGCACCAACAUUCAAUGUGUUCAUGGCUGAUCAUCCACAAUCAGUAACCCGUUCCUGCCUUCUCUCCAUAGCCCUUAACUCCACUAUCCAUAAGAGCUCCAUCUAAGUCUCUCUUGAAAACAUCCAGAGAACCAGCCUCCAGCCUCUGUCUGAGGCAGAGAAUUCCACACACUCACAACUCUGUGUGUGAAAAUGUUUUUCCUCAUCUCCGUUCUAAAUGGCUUACUCCUUAUUCUUAAACUGUGGCCCCUGGUUCUGGACUUCCCCAACAUCGGGAACAUGUUUCCUGCCUCUAGCGUGUCCAAACCCUUAAUAAUCGUAUAUGUUUCCAUAAAAUCUCCUCUCAUCCUUCUAAAUUCAAGAGUGUACAAGCCCAGCUGUUCCAACUUAUCAACAUAUGACAGUCCCGCCAUCCUGGGAAUUAACCUCGUGAACCCAUGCUGCACUCCCUCAAUAGCAAGAAUGUCCGUCCUCAAGUUUGGAGACCAAAACUGCACACAAUACUCCAGGUGUGGUCUCACUCGUGCCCUGUACAACUGCAGAAGGACCUCUUUGUUCCUAUACUCAAAUCCUCUUGUUAUGAAGGCCAACUUGCCAUUUACUUUCUUCACUGCCUGCUGUACCUGCAAGCUUACUUUCAGUGACUGAUGAACAAGGACCCCCCAGAUCCCGUACUUCCCCUUUUCCCAACUUAACACCAUUUACAUAAUAAUCUGCAUUCCUGUUUUUGCCACCAAAAUGGAUAACCUCACAUUUAUCCACAUUAAACUGCAUCUGCCCAUUCACCCAACCUAUCCAAGUCGCCCUACAUCCUCAUAGCAUCCUCCUCACAGUUCACACUGCCACCCAGCUUUGUGUCAUCUGCAAAUUUGCUGAUGUUACUUUUAAUCCUUUCAUCCAAAUCAUUAAUGUAUAUUGUAAAUAGCUGUGGUGCCAGCACCGAGCCUUGCGGUACCCCACUAGUCACUGCCUGCCAUUCUGAAAGGGACCCGUUAAUUCCUACCCUUUGUUUCCUGUCUGCCAACCAAUUUUCUAUCCAAGUCAGCACCCUAUCCCCAAUACCAUGUGCUCGAAUUUUGCCCACUAAUCUCCUAUGUGGGACCUUCUCAAAUGUUUUCUGAAAGUCCAGGUAAACUACAUCCACUGCAAGGCUCUCCCUUGUCCAUUAUCCUAGUUACAUCCUCAAAAAAUUCCAGAAGAUUAGUCAAGCAAGAUUUCCCCUUUGUAAAUCCAUGCUGACUCGGACCGAUCCUGUUACUGCUCUCCAAAUGUGCCUCUAUUUCAUCUUUUAUUAUUGACUCCAGCGUAUUCCCAAUCACCAAUGUCAAGCUAACUGGUCUAUAAUUCUCUGUUUUCUCUUUGCCGCCCUUCUUAAAAAGUGGGACAACAUUAGUUAACCUCCAAUCCACAGGAACUGAUCCUGAAUCUAUAGAACAUUGGGAACAUGAUCACCAAUGCGUCCACAGUUUCUAGAGCCACUUCCUUAAGUACCCAGGGAUGCAGACCAUCAGGCCCUGGGGAUUUAUCAGCCUUCAGUCCCAUCAGUCUACCCAACACAAUUUACUGCCUAAUGUGAAUCUCCUUCAGUUCCUCUACACCCUAGAUCCUCUGGUUACUAGUACAUCAGGAAGAUUGUGUCCUCCUUAGUGAAGACAGAUCCAAAGUACCUGUUCGUCUGCCAUUUCCUUGUUCCUCAUAAUAAAUUCCCCUUUUCAGUCUUCAAGGGUCUAACUUUGGCCUUAACUAGUUUUUCCUCUUCACAUACCCAAAGAAACAUUUACUAUCCUCCUUUAUAUUCUUGUCUAGCUUACCCUUCGUACCUCAUUUUAUCUCUAUGUAUUGUCUUUUUAGUUAUCUUCUGUUGCUCUUUAAAAGUUACCCAAUCCUCUGGCUUCCCACUCAUCUUUGCUACGUUAUAUUUCUUCUUUUUUAUUUUUAUACUCUCCCUGAUUUCCCUUGCCACCCUUACUCCCCUUGGAAUAUUUAUUCUUCUUUGGAAUGAACUGAUCCUGCACCUUCUGUAUUAUUCCCAGAAAUACCUGCCAUUGUUGUUCCACUGUCAUUCCUCUUUCCAGUCAACUUUGGCUAGCUCCUCCCUCAUGGCUCCAUAGUCCCCAUUGCUCAAUACCGACACCUCCGAUUUACCCUUCUCCCGCUCAAAUUGUAGAUUAAAACUUAUCAUAUUAUGGCCACUACCUCCUGAUGGUUCCUUUACCUCGAGUUCCUUUAUCAAAUCCAGUUCAUUGCACAACACUAAAUCCAGAAUUCCAGUGCAAGCUGCUCUAAGAAUCCAUCACAGAGGCACUCCACAAACUCACUUUGUUGGGGUCCAGUUACAACCUGAUUUUCCCAGUCUACCCGCAUGUUGAAAUCUCCCAUAACAACCAUAGUAUUACCUUUGCGACAUGCCAAUUUUAACUCUUGAUUCAACUUGCACCCUAUAUCCAGGCUACUGUUUGGGGGCCUGUAGAUAACUCCCAUUAGGGUCUUCUUAACAUUACAAUUCCUCAGUUCUAUUCAUACUGACUUCACAUCUCCUGAUUCUGGGUCACCCCUUGAUAUCUUGAGGCUUUACCACUUCAAGGAUUAUAUCACGUGACUGCUGUGGGUUGCAACUUUGCAGGACGUGGAAUUCUUCAGCUGUAUGUCUCCGGGGAACCAAGCCUUAGUAAGAAAUUAUUGUCUUGACACUGUAAGCUUUAAUUUUAUUUUUUAAUAAAGUACCCUUGAUGUUAAUUUGAAUUGCUGACUCUUUUUCAAGUAUCUAAGGAGAUGUGCUGUUGAAAAUGCAGGUUGAUGGAUACUGGAGCUGAUACUAAAGAUCAGACAUGAUCCCUCACAAUUGGGUUAAUGUGGAAAUACAUGGAGUGAUAGUAAGUUGUAGUAUUUAAUUGAGAUAGUACAUGGUGGAAUAAAUAAAGAUACCCGAGCCAGUAAGUAAGCAAUGUGCUUAAAGAAUGAACAACAAUGAUAGAAAAUGUUUACAUUCAGUCUGAAGAAGAGUCUUAACCCAAAGUGCCACCCAUUCCUUCUCUCCAGAGAUGCUGCCUGAGUUACUCCAGCAUUUUGUGUCUACCUUCAAUUUCUGCAUCUGCAGAUCUUUCCUACACAUGUUUACAUAGUGUUUAGUUUUAGU